GUAUAAAAAUAAGGGGCUCAUUAUGCAAACAAACAUACAUGCAGAGAAAUCAUGUUAGUUCUAGAAUUUGUAGCCCCCCUUAAAUAACCUCUAGUUUUUUCUUAUUCAUCAUCACCUUUACAUGUACUUUUUACAUUUCCUCAAUUAAGACUUUAUGCUUAAAAUCAGCGUUGCACAUCAUAAAAUAGCACAUAAAUUAGCAAGCCGGAGUAAUGCCAAACAUCCAUCAUACCUUUUAACCCCCCUUUUUUUUUUUUUUUUAAACCAUUGUAGUCUGCAAAAUUGACAUCUACGUUAAAUAAAUACCACAGUCCACCAAAGACUGGAAAUCUGUUUUAUAACCUACCAAAGGCAACCUCUACCAAAGAGGGAUCUAGGGACGUCUCCCAUAUGUAAGUGUACAUCACAGGUACAUCACAGCCUACCAAAGGCUUGAAAUUAUUUUUAACACCUGGCCAAAGGUGAACCUCUUACCAAAGAGGAAAUGUGCACAAUAACUACUACUACCUACCAAAGGCAAUCCUCCAACCCGUGGAGUAAUAGAAGUCUACCUAAGACUUAACAAAAUACCAUGUCUACCAAAGACAUUAUCCUGUGAAAAUCCCCUUUAAAAAUGUAAAUAGUGAAAAACCCCAUUAAAACAAGAAAUGCAAUGUGUGGGAGGAUGGCAGAAGCAGGCAAAGGUCCCCAACCCCUUAAGGACACACGACAGAAAUACUCCGUCAUGAUACCCUUAAAUUCCAGAAGUUGUGUCCCCAAGGGGCUAAAGACCCCCUUACCUGCAACUCCGUUCCUAAUUGCACCCAAACUUCUGACACCAAUUUGUUGGGGAUAAAAUCAGCCUGGCCCUUUGUGGAUGAUGGAUAUUUGCCAACUCAUACAGAGCUCUGGAAAUUGGAAAUGAAUAGCAGAGACGUGUUCA